CACGAAGGAGAGAGAGUAAGAAGUCUCUAGAAAAUGAAACACUCAAUAAGGAGGAAGAUUGCCACUCUCCAACUUCUAAACCUCCCAAACCUGAUCAGCCCCUAAAGGAAAGAUGGCAAAAAGGAUCAAGACUCCAGAUCUGCACCUGAGCCAAAGAAACCUGAGGAAAAUCCAGCUUCCAAGUUCAGUUCUGCAAGCAACUAUGCUGCUCUCUCUUGAUGGUGAAGAUGAAAAUGAGGGAGAAGAUUAUGCCGAAUAGACCUCUACAUCCUGUGCUUUUCUCCUAGUUUCUCUCCACCCUGGAACAUUCGAGAGCAAAUCAAAACCUCUAUCCAGACAAGACAAAAUAAAACUCACCAUCUCCUGAAGAUCUUUCUUACCUUUUUUUAAAAAC
rnacentral:lncRNA from 1 species